ACAAAUGCCAGAAUGGAAUAAAAAGUAAAUAUUCAUUAACACUUGAACACAUUUGUUGGAAUAUAGUGGUUGCUGUAUGAUCUUGAAGCAUGUAUUGCAUUGUAACAAUACAAGGCACGUGCUACUGUUUGACAUGUGAUCUUACAUUGGUAUUAUUAUCCCUGAUUUUCUUUUAGCGACUACUAUAUGAUCUUUGAAGUAUCUAAUCCAACGUUUAUGGAGCAUCAAGUGGCUGGGUUGAGAAGAGAAGUUAUUUGUUGGACCUACAAGGCGCAGAAAUCUAGCUGGCAACAGAAUUAUUUAUAUUUACGAAUGCAGUAAUAUGCAAUACAUAGUGUGUUUUUUAGAAUUACUUAUGUGUCAUGUUGGAAACAAUGUUGCUGGUGCCUUUACGUGUUACUACUGCUUUAUUGUUCAUGUAUAAUGCCUUCACAUAUUUGUGCCAAGCUAACAUUCAAUAUAUAUUACAAACAGACGGGCGGAGCAACGCGCGUCAACGAUGAUCUAGUAUUGCUUAAACAUUGAC
rnacentral:lncRNA from 1 species